ACUCCUACGGGAGGCAGCAGUGGGGAAUAUUGCACAAUGGGGGAAACCCUGAUGCAGCCAUGCCGCGUGUGUGAAGAAGGCCUUGGGUUGUAAAGCACUUUCAGUAGGGAGGAAGGUAGUGUAGUUAACACCUGCAUUAUUUGUACGUUACCUACAGAAGAAGCACCGGCUAACUCCGUGCCAGCAGCCGCGGUAAUACGGAGGGUGCGAGCGUUAAUCGGAAUUACUGGGCGUAAAGCGCAUGCAGGCGGCCUGUUAAGUCAGAUGUGAAAGCCCGGGGCUUAACCUCGGAAUUGCAUUUGAAACUGGCAGGCUAGAGUCUUGUAGAGGGGGUAGGAAUUUCAGGUGUAGCGGUGAAAUGCGUAGAG
rnacentral:rRNA from 1 species